UCUGACCUCAAAUCAGGUAGGACUACCCGCUGAA
rnacentral:rRNA from 1 species